rnacentral:misc_RNA from 1 species
GAUGAAGAACGUAGUGAAAUGCGAUAAGUAAUGUGAAUUGCAGAAUUCAGUGAAUCAUCGAAUCUUUGAACGCACAUUGCGCCCGCUAGUAUUCUGGCGGGCAUGCCUGUCCGAGCGUCAUUUCAACCCUCAAGCCCCCGGGCUUGGUGUUGGGGAUCGGCGAGCCUCCGCGCCCGCCGUCCCCUAAAUCUAGUGGCGGUCUCGCUGUAGCUUCCUCUGCGUAGUAGCACACCUCGCACUGGGAANNNNCGCGGCCACGCCGUUAAACCCCCAACUUCUGAACGUUUGACCUCGGAUCAGGUAGGAAUACCCGCUGAACUUAAGCAUAUCAAUAAGCGGAGGA